rnacentral:rRNA from 1 species
UACGUAGGGUGCUAGCGUUGUCCGGAUUUAUUGGGCGUAAAGAGCGUGUAGGCGGCCAUUUAGGUCCGGUGUGAAAACUCGAGGCUUAACCUCGAGAUGUCAUCGGAAACCAUUUGGCUAGAGUCCGGAAGAGGAGAGUGGAAUUCCUGGUGUAGCGGUGAAAUGCGCAGAUAUCAGGAAGAACACCAAUGGCGAAAGCAGCUCUCUGGGACGGUACUGACGCUGAGACGCGAAAGCGUGGGGAGCGAACAGG